UACGUAGGGUGCGAGCGUUGUCCGGAAUUAUUGGGCGUAAAGGGCUCGUAGGCGGUUUGUCGCGUCGGGAGUGAAAACCUUGGGCUUAACUCGGAACGGUCAAGUGAUACUGUCGGACUAGAGUACAGAAGGGGCAACUGGAAUUCUCGGUGUAGCGGUGAAAUGCGUAGAUAUCGAGAGGAACACCUGCGGCGAAGGCGGGUUGCUGGGCUGAUACUGACGCUGAGGCGCGAAAGCCAGGGGAGCGAACGGG
rnacentral:rRNA from 1 species